UUGGAGCUGAUCAGCAAUCUCUCCGAUUGGAUUGAACCACUCCUGGCUUUGACUGCGGCUCAGUUAAUGACAUUGACCAGACAACACCGACCCAGAGAGGGGGUGCAGACACUGAUUAGUUUGAUUUUUUAUAAAAAUGAAACCGUCUGAUUACUGGUAAAGAACGAUUGGGGGACGGAAUUCCAGGAUUUUGGCAACGUUGAAGAAAUGGCGAUGUAUUUCCAAGCCAGGAUGUGCAGCAGCCUGUCCAGGCUUUGCCAGGUCCAGUUGGAAGUAUUCCUGGAGACUUCAGUCCAUGACCACCAACCCCUAACCGCGCCAAACUGUCCAACACAGUCUUCUGGAGAUAGUGAGGACUGCAGAUGCUGGACAGUCAGAGUUGAUAAAAUGUGGAGCUGGAAGCAGCACAGUAGGUCAAGCAGCAUCAGAGGAGCAGGGGAGUUGAUGCUUCCUAUCGGGACCUUUCACCAGGACUUUCUUCAAACACAGUCGUUUGCUUCUUUCUAGCACCUUUUAUGACACUUAAACACAAAUAAAGUAAAAUUAAGCACGUUUUGUUUUGUAAUGAUCUGGUGCUGAGCUUCGUAAUUUGCUCACAUCAGUAUCCAGGACAUUAAUCUAUCCUCUCAGGGCGAUUCCAGCAACAGCCUGGACGUUAGGCAGUCCUGUUACUGACAUUUUUACCAAGCGAGUUGAAGAUCUUCUUUAGGAAGCAGAAUCUUUCUGUUGUGAUGCCCAGACGCUGGGUGCAGCCGUCAGAAACAGCCUGCUUGACAUUUCUUCCGCGAAGUUUUGUGAUUGUGGUUGCUGAAGAGAAGCCAAAUUUCCACAGGGGCUCCCUAAUCUCCUGUCAGAACAUCCAAAAGAAGGAUAGGAAAGCUACGGAUAACUGACGGACAACUGGGAGACUUGCCAAGGAAUUACUUCACCACCAGCAUGAACCCACUAGACAAUCAGUGAAGGCCCCAUAAAGACAGGCCCUUGUAUGAGCUGACUCCAGUCAGAGGAGAGAUGAAGUGGAAUGAAGGUUUUUAUCUCUGGAGUUUACAAGCACGAGAGGUUGUGAGCAUCGCUGGCUAGCAAGCAUUUGUCCAUCCUUAGUUGCCCUGAGGUACUCCUACAGAGAUGUCCUGGAGCUGAGAUGACUGACCUUCAACAACCAUGGGCAUCUUUUUAUGUGCUGAGUAUAACUCCAACCAGCAGAGAAAUUUCCCCCAAUUCCCAUUGAGUGCAAUUGAAAGACAGUUGUUGUAAGUGGUUUGUCCCCAUGUGUUCAGUAGGUGAUGGAGAGUCCUGAGCCAAUUGUUUAGAGGUAGCCAAUCCCUUGUCAGCCAUUAGACAGCCUCUGGUCCAUUGUGGUACUCGAAAGCCUGGGGAAUGACAGAUUAACCCAAGAUCAUAGUUGCUGCCAAGAUCUUGGACAUCACUGAUAUAUUGGCAUACAUGAACUGCCCAUUGACAGUGAAAUUAAAAUUAUGAUACAACACCUCAUUAGCACAUAGGCAGUCUGACUUAUUUAUAUUUUCAUCCUGCCCUACUUGGAAAAUGGUGGCCUGGCAAAAUCUUGUCAGUGAGAAGAUAAGUGAAAACCCCUCCCCUCAGUCCAGUGACCAACUCCUUUUUCUCUAGGCACCUCAAACAUUAUUCACUCAUGGGAUUUAUUGCCCAUCCCCAGCUGCCCAUGAGAAGAUGGUGGUGAACUGCCUUCUUGAACCCCGAUGAGAAGGUACUGGAGUUGGACUGGGGUUGACAAAGUUAAACAUAAGACACACCUGUUGGGUCAUAACCUGGUGUUGUGUGAUUUUUAACUUCUUGACCCACUGCAGACAGACCCACAAUGCCAUGGGGAAGGAAAUACCAGAAUUUUGACGCAGUGACACUGAAGAAUAUAUUUCCAAGUCAGGAUGAUGAGCGAUUUAGAGUGGAACUUGCAGGUGGUGGUGUAACCAUUUAUCUGCCGUCUUUCUCCUUCCAGAUGGAAGCAGUCACAGGUUUGGAAAGUGCCAUUGAAGGACCUUUGGUGAAUUUCUGCAGUAGAUCUUAUAACAUAUACACACAGCUGCUACUGAGCAGUUGGAGCUGCACUCAUCUGGGCAAGUGGGUAGUAUUCUAUCACACCCCCUCUGAAAAUCUGAGGUUCAUAAGGCCUUUUGUUCAGAAUCUAUCACUUUCACUGCUAUGGCAGGCUUUCUGGGACAGGGUAAGAUACCUCUCGGGUUCAAUGUCAAGAGGCAGCCACACUCAUUUCAAAAUCCAAUGCAUCACGAAAUCCUCUCCAGGAAUUUGUCCAGUCACUUGGCUAGAAAAAAAGUGUGAGACCAAAAUCACCUCACCUGCAAAUUCCACUUGGCCUGACCCUUCAAUCAAUGCUAUUGAGGGGCGAAGAUGGUAGGGGUGAGAUGGGGUGUUGUUCAGUUAUUGCAGGGCAUCAGGGAGAUCAAUGUUUGUGCAGCAAGAUUAGGAAAAUUUGCUAGUUGGAUCUGCACACUCUAAACUGCAGAAGUAUGUCACAUGAGUUGUGGCCCACCACUGCUCGAUGAUUUUUCCUGUGUGUGUACAAUACACCUAUUAUUGAGGCCUUACAUCGGGUGUGCCAUAUAGGCUGCACCAGGACUGGCUAUUUUCGGUCCUCUGGCAAUGGUCUGGAACUGAAAUCUUUCUUUAAGAGGAGAAAGCUGACAGUAAUGGAAGACCCCAUGGAUUUACAAGAAGAGCUGGGAAAUGAGGAAGCAAGAGGCAUGCCCCCGAGAUCAAAUUUUAGCCUGUGUGGAAUUUAUUUUUCUCUUUUGUUAGAAUAUAAGGAAUUAUCAGGAGGUCACACUGUCAAUUAAUGUGAUAGUUGCCAAAGCAAAGGCUCAGACUAGGCAAGUUGGACAGAACUAGCUCCCACAAAAUAUUUAGAUUUUAUUGUCAAGUAUGAGGUAUAAGAAUAUUCUGGUGCGGCCGCACUGGGAGUAUUGCAUACAGUUUUGGUCACCAUAUUAUAGGAAGGAUGUGGAAAUGUUCGAAUGGGGUUAGGGAAGAUUUACUAGGAUGUUGCCUUGUAUUGAAGAGAGGUCUUAUGAAGAAAGGCUGAGGGACUUGAGGCUGUUUUCAUUAGAGAGAAGAAGGUUGCGAAGUAACUUAAUUGAGACAUUUGAGAUGAUCAGAGGGUUAGAUAGGAUGGGCAGUGAGGGCCUUUUUCCUCAGAUGGUGAUGGCUAGCAUGAGGGGACAUAGCUUUAAAUUGAAGAGUGAUAGAUAUAGUACAGAUGUCAGAGAUAAAUUCUUUACUCAGAGAGUACGAGAGGCAUGGAUCGCACUGCCUGCAACAGACUCACCAACUUUAAGGGCAUUUAAAUGGUCAUUGGAUAGGCACAUGAACGAGAAUAGAAUAAUGUAGAUUAGAUGGACUUCAGAUUGAUUUCAUAGGUGAGUGCAACAUCAAGGGCCGAAGGCCUGUAUUGCGCUGUAAUGUUCUAUGUUCUGUGUCCUGUGUAAUACAGUGAAAAAUGUACAAUAUCGCUACACAUCUGAGGAACAAAGUUUAGGUACAGAAGCUUAGUUACAGAAAUGGAAAAAUAAAGAAAUAAGUUAAAACAAUUCAGCAAUACAGUCUUCUUAGUAUAAAAAUGGAAAAAUAAAAAAGUCAAACAUUGCAGUUCUUUCUUAAGCCCUGGGCCCACAAAUGCUCUAAGCUGUGCUUUCCCAA